rnacentral:rRNA from 1 species
CCUACGGGUGGCAGCAGUGAGGAAUAUUGGUCAAUGGGCGCGAGCCUGAACCAGCCAAGUCGCGUGAGGGAAGACGGUCCUAUGGAUUGUAAACCUCUUUUGUCGGGGAGCAAAAGACGCCACGCGUGGCGUUCCGAGAGUACCCGAAGAAAAAGCAUCGGCUAACUCCGUGCCAGCAGCCGCGGUAAUACGGAGGAUGCGAGCGUUAUCCGGAUUUAUUGGGUUUAAAGGGUGCGUAGGCGGACAGUCAAGUCAGCGGUAAAAAUGCGGUGCUCAACGCCGUACAGCCGUUGAAACUGGCAGUCUUGAGUGGGCGAGAAGUAUGCGGAAUGCGUGGUGUAGCGGUGAAAUGCAUAGAUAUCACGCAGAACUCCGAUUGCGAAGGCAGCAUACCGGCGCCCGACUGACGCUGAGGCACGAAAGCGUGGGUAUCGAACAGGAUUAGAUACCCGAGUAGUC